AGGGAAAUGCUGGAAUUGGUAGACAGGGUUAGUUUAGGCCUAACUGGUUGCAAGAUCAUGCAGGUUCAAGUCCUGCUUUCUCUA